UACAGACUACAGAUAUACAUUUUGGGCCCAAUCUUCAGCCCACUUUACCAAACCUGACUUUUGAUUCUACAGCAAUCUAACCCUAAAACUAUCGUAUCGCCUCCUUCUCCUCUCUCCAGUUUGUUUGUCAAAUACAGUAACCCCCUCCCCUGUUUCUUUCUUUUGCUUCACCAUUUAUUCACCCUUUUUCUUUUGCUUUUCUUUAACUGAGUCUCGUAGUGAGUCAGCUGAGUGCGUUGUUUAAAUUGUUGAUCGAUCUCGUUGUUUUGAAUGCCGAGUCAGUUGUGUGUUUUGCUUUUCGUCGAGUCUGAAUUAGUUUUGUUGCCGAGUAUAACAUCUGUUCUUCAUUACUGUUUGUCUAUUGUGUAACAAAAUUCUUGCAAGAAUGUAAUUUAAUUUCCAAGCUCUGCUGUCAAUAUAAAAUUUUUGAUUUUUAGGUGCUAUUGGGUCGGGUUCGUGUCUGUUCGUGUCGGGUUGUUUCGGGUCAGACACGACCCAUUUUUUACUCGUGUCAAACAGGUCGGGUUCGGGUAAAAUCAACCUACAACAGGUCGGGUUCGUGUCUAUUUUUUUUACCCGAUUCGGGUCGGGUCGUGUUCGGGUCGAGUUAAAAAAAAAACCAGGUAGGUUCAACCCGACACGAACCCGACCCAUUACCCGAAAUUGCCACCCCUACCA
rnacentral:lncRNA from 1 species